UACAGAGGUCCCAAGCGUUGUUCGGAUUCACUGGGCGUAAAGGGUGCGUAGGCGGGUUGGUAAGUCAGUGGUGAAAUCUUCAAGCUUAACUUGGAAACUGCCGUUGAUACUAUCAAUCUUGAAUAUUGUGGAGGUAAGCGGAAUAUGUCAUGUAGCGGUGAAAUGCUUAGAUAUGACAUAGAACACCGAUAGCGAAGGCAGCUUGCUACACCAUAAUUGACGCUGAGGCACGAAAGCGUGGGGAUCAAACAGG
rnacentral:rRNA from 1 species